rnacentral:rRNA from 1 species
AGUGAACGCUGGCGGUAGACCUAACACAUGCAAGUCGAACGGCAGCACAGUAAGAGCUUGCUCUUACGGGUGGCGAGUGGCGGACGGGUGAGGAAUACAUCGGAAUCUACUUUUUCGUGGGGGAUAACGUAGGGAAACUUACGCUAAUACCGCAUACGACCUACGGGUGAAAGCAGGGGAUCUUCGGACCUUGCGCGAUUGAAUGAGCCGAUGUCGGAUUAGCUAGUUGGCGGGGUAAAGGCCCACCAAGGCGACGAUCCGUAGCUGGUCUGAGAGGAUGAUCAGCCACACUGGAACUGAGACACGGUCCAGACUCCUACGGGAGGCAGCAGUGGGGAAUAUUGGACAAUGGGCGCAAGCCUGAUCCAGCCAUACCGCGUGGGUGAAGAAGGCCUUCGGGUUGUAAAGCCCUUUUGUUGGGGAAGAAAAGCAGCAGGUUAAUACCCCGCUGUUCUGACGGUACCCAAAGAAUAAGCACCGGCUAACUUCGUG